UAUAGUUUGUAUAUCUUAUGUGGUUCAAUAUACUUAGUUCACUAUAAGCAAUGUUCUGAUACCAAUCUGCCACACCCCCAAACUAGAAUGGCGGAAACAUUCGGGGGUGGAUGACUUCACAUAGUACCAUAACAAUUGAAUAUUGUAAAGAAAGUAACACAACCAUCAUAUAUAUAUAAUAAAAACGUACAUUGUUGCGUUAUGCAUGUUUCGAAAAGAAUAUUACAAUAUGAUGAUUUAAAAUGUUGAUAAUAAACGCCUUAGUGUUCCUUCUUCAAAAGCUGGUAGUUACCUGUAUUACUGAUUCCCUGAGAAAUACAAGUGGUUUCGAAAAAGUGUCAACAGUAAAGUUGAUGAGUUCAUAAGUGUUUUUGUACUGAAAAAGUAUGACUUUUUGGAAGAAAAUAGAUGAACAUAGUUUCUAGAAAAUCCAAUAUUUUCCACAUAUAGUUUGAAAAGUUCCCAUAGUUGGAGGGUGUUAGUAUCUUUCGUAUUUAAAUGUUAAAGAUAAAUAUUGCACUCACAAUAAUCUAAAUACUGAAUGCAUAUAUGAGUCUCGUAAAUCAAGCUUGUUUUUAUACUUUCGUGUGAGUCUUAUAACCAUACUAUUGACACAGACUGCCUGCAACAACAUUCUUCAAGUGUUGUAGUGUUAUGACAUUUGUCACCCCAGACCUGCCGGUCUAACUGUAGCUAACAGUUUAGGUGCGGGAUUGUCAAUCUCGUAUAAAUCUAUACACAAGUAUCACGCUCUCCCUCUAAGAGAUUAUGGCUUAUAACACAGGACUUGAAAUGCAUACUUAAGAGUACGUUGAAUUUGAAUAUCUCACAUCACAUAGUAUAAAUAGAUUUACGAUAAGAAAGUCUUUGUUACACUUUAGGUGAAAGUAUUUCGUUUUCAAUAUGUAUAUGUAAGAAUGUAUGAAUAACUCGCACACUAUACCCAUUAUAGUUUUUUAGAAAAUAUGUUCCGUUUGGUGAAAAUAACAUGGUGAAAUACUAAACUUUAUACGUAAAGUAAGAUGUUGGUAUCGAAUAAUAAUAAGAUAGAUGUUGCAUUUAUAUUUAUAUAAAACGAUACGUUUUCUCGUAUUGUACUUGUAUCCCCCCCCCCUAAAACAUGAAAAGACUUGAAAAAUAGGGGUAUGAACUCACUUGUUCGGUUUGAAGAGAGUGAGACUAGAGUUGAGCAGAACUUCAACUGCGAAAAGCUGCGUCUUCGAGCUUCUCGGGGAUCUCGGUAGCGUAGAACCUUCGUCGGGGGCUCGGGGGUGGAACCGAGGGUGUCGGGAUGGCCUCUGGUGCUUAAAGUGUGUGAAAGUGAGUGAGAGUUUGAGAGAAGUGUGCCAAGAUCCGGAGUUCAUGCCCUCUAUUUAUAGGGCUAAAAAUGUGAGUACGCUGGGCGUACCACCGGAGUACGCUGGCGUACGCGUUACGCUGGGCGUAACUUUGCAUCAUGGCUUACGACUCGGGUCUAGCUAGGCGUAGCGCCUGCAGCCGAUGGGACUCGACCCUGCACCUGAGUACGCUGGGCGUACUCUUGAAUUACGUUGGGCGUAAUUCCGGCUUCAAUUUUUUAAAUUCUGUAACUUUCGCGUACGGGCUCCGUUUUUCGCGUUCUUUAUAUCCCCGCAUAGGUGAGACUAUGCUCUACAACUUUCAUUUAGACUCCGCCGGCUAGUUUUGACUUUAUUUUUAAUACUAUGUUUUUAAAAGGCCGGGACUGUUAAAGUCCGUUAAAAAUUCGUAACUUCUUCAUACGAGGUCCAAUCUGGGCGAUCUUUUUAUGGACGUUUACAGUUUAAUGAACUCUAUGACUUUCGUUUAGAUACCUAAGGCUAUAAUGCAUUUUAUUGGAAUUUCACUUUUUACGUUAAAUAAUGCUUUACCGGUGUGUCGUGAAUACUCGUGUGGUCGUAAUUGCUUCAUUAUAACUCGGUUUCAAAUGUUCUUUAUGUUUUUAGAAAUCUUUGCACGAUAUCUAACAUUUGAUGCAUCCCAAAUUUAGAUUUUUGAAUACUUUAUUUUUGAGGUUAAAUCCGUUGAUUGCAAAUAGUUUCGUUGUAUUUGACUUUUAAGUGUUACAAAGCGUUGGAAAAAUAUAGGGUUGUCACAAAUACACAGGGACCAGUUAUGUGAAUUUUGAAAAAUAGAAAAGCACAAUGGUUGUUUCUAUCAUAUUUGCAAACCAAAAAAACAGGGACCAUUUCUGUCAUUUGUCCACACUAUUACAAAGGGACCAUUCAUUUAAUUCUACAAAGUAAAACAUAGGGACCAUUUUAUAAUUAAUACAUAGGGACCAAUUCUGUGAAUUUUGAAAAAUAAAAAAGCACAAGGGUUGUUUCUAUCAUAUUUGCAAACCAAAAAACAGGGACCAUUUCUCUCAUUUGUCCACACUAUUACACAUGGACCAUUCCUUUAAUUCUACAAAGUAAAACAUAGGGACCAUUUCUAUACAUUUUGAAAAAUAAAAAACACAAUGCUUAAUAAGACAAUGCAAUCAUGUAAAAGAAUGAACAAUUGUAAAUCUUAUGGUUGAAUAUAUUUGUGUGCUAUAGCCUAUAAGUCUAUAACAUCUUACUUUUUUUUUCUAUUACAACAUUGUACUUUCAGUUGUUUCUUGUUAAGGCAUUGUAGUUUGAUUCUUUAAAAAUAUACCCAAUAAUACCAAUGUUAACCAAAUACAAAGCAAACUUUUAUUAGAAGAAAUGAGAGUAUGAUGCUAUAAUAAAGAAAGUAAAAAAAGUAUAUUGCUAUUUCUUGCAUGUUAAAGAAACUAAACUUCAUCAGUGUUUUAAUGUUUUACUAGAACUAAAUUUAAUAGAUGAUUAAAACAUGGUUAAAUAAACACGUUUGUUAUUAAUAUCAUCAUUUUGUGGAAAAUAAUUAGGCUUCUCAUAACAUAAUGGUAAUCCAAAGGUCUGCAUUUAUCCAUAACAAUACUUUACAUGGAAUGUAUGAAUAAAAUUACCAUUUUACCCUUAAGAGUUACAUUUAAUUUAAUUGUCUAUCUUACAUGGAAAGUUAUAUGAGAGAAGUUAGGUAAAUUUGUUACCUAUUUUGACUGAGUAUGUUGCUAGUAGGCGGCACAGCUUGUCCUGUUCGCGUUCGAACAGAUACAAAUGCUCUACCAGAUAAUGUUUUAGGAGUCAUUUUCGACCUAACUGCAUAGGAGAAUAAGAAUGUAUGAAUAAAAUUACCAUUUUUCCCUUAAAAGUUACCAGUCAUUUCCGUUCGUUAAAAUUGUUAUGUGAUACAAUUUUAACUAAAACCGAGGCCCAGCCUCCUUUAGAUCAAUCGAUUUAGGACCUCCACUUUGCUUUUUAUUUAUUUUUGAAGAAUUACAUUUAAUUUAAUUUAAUUUGAUUAAAAUCAUGAAAGAGUUGCUUUGUCAUUUGACAAUACCACAAAAUUGGUCUUGUUGACAGGUGACAUUGUCUAAAGAUCUUUGUCAUUUGACAGUACUAUGUUCUGGGGAACUUCAAUUUCCAAGGCAUGAUUUGCAUGGUUUCCAUUGCUUAACACUCGAGACCUCAAUAUUCUUUAAAAGGUUACUUUCAAAUUUACUGAUUCACUUAUCAAUAUACUACAAAAAACACAUAUACUAAGAAGCAUGUUAGUGAUUUAUAAAGAAGAAAGUAUUUGUAUGAAACUGAUUCUUAAUUGUUGUAGGAGAAAUGAGCUUCACCGGGUUGCUAAACAAGCUUCAAAUAUUGAGGAUUUAACAGAAGUCAUUAGAGCCUCAUUGUCUGUCAUGUCUAAGAAAUGGUCUGAUGCCAUGCACACAUUUCAUGACAAAUUUGAUUCCCUCUCUAGUCUCAUUUAUGACCAUGGUAACUACUAAUAACCCUAAAAUCAAUCACAAUUGACAAUUCCAUUCAGAUGAUUGUUUACUUUUUCUUGCUUAUCAAACACAGGACUGGACUUAACGCCAUAAGAGGAGUUUCUUAGCCUUUAAGGUGGGGCCCGCACCAGUCCAGUUGUUCACCAAUUUCUAAGGCAUUUACAAAAUCAAAUUUUGGGAUAAAGCUUUCAUUGAUGAAAGGUUAUUAUUAUCAGGGUCUUAAGCGAAUAAUGAAAUGUGGGGCUGGAAAGGAUCUUCAGGUUAUUGUUCUUGAACAUUUACAGGUAAGAAUAAGAUUGAGAUUGUUUAAUGUUUGUAGUUUUUUAUUCAGAAAUCAGAUAGGACUGGCAGGAUAAUUUUUUAUUAAAAUAUAAAUAUGAGGUCAAUCCUUUUCAUAAAAUUAACAAAAUGGUUACUUACAUUGACAAUUCAUGGCCAAAAAACGUUGAGAAACAGUAAAUAGGAAUGAAAAAUGCAAGAAGACUUUUUUUUGAAGUGAUAAAACUAUAAUUUCUAGAGUAAGGUUAGGGAUAGUUUUCAUAGUUACUUUAGGGAUAGCUUACCUAAUGCCUUAAUGUACCUCCCAAGAGCUAUAGGAAUAAGAUCUUCAAGGCACAAUGAGAACUGCAUGUAUAUGUAACAAGCUACUGAUUAGUUUUAACGAUAAGAUAAUAGAUAGAAAUAUGUAGUCAUCACUGAGAUGAAAAAAAUGAAAUCAAUCUAAAGUUCAAAUCAAUACAUACUUAUUAUUAUCUUUUUAUCACACAAAUAAAAGGUUACCUUUUCACUAGAGACAAUCUUCUUUCGACUGAUGCAACUCUGAAGAUGCUACAAGAACAAAUACAUAAAUAAAUUAGUGAAUAAAUGUGUUUAAUCAUACAUCAUCAAGGUAUGAAGAAAGAAGAUAAAGAAAUGAAAUCAAACUAAAGAUCAAAUAAAUACAUACUUAUAUUGUAGAUAGAUUGCAUUAAUAAGAAAAGGGAAGUACAUUGUCGUUAUUCUAAUCUUGAAAACAGCACAAAGGCUGAACUUUUAUUCUGUACUUGAAAAACAAUAAAAAGGUGAACUUUUAUUUUGAACUUGAAAAACAACAUAAAGAUUGAACUAUCAUCAUCAUCAUUGGAUUCAUAGAAUUAGGAAAGAUAUAUAUCUGUUAACUUAUAAAAUAAGAUCCAUGAAUUGCAAUUACUUGAAAGUUGAUCUUAAUUUUUGAAUUGAUAUCACGAAAUAAGCCCAAGUGUAGACAAACAGAAAAACAUGCAGGUGCUUGCUUAAUCCAGUUGUGUACAUUGACUAACGGUUUUACAGAUGUAUAAUUUUUUUUUUAAAUAAUUUACAAAAAAUGGUACAACUAGUUUUAUUGUUAAUUUAUACAUAAAAAAACACAAAUUUAAUUAGUUUUUGGCUUUUGCACACCCUUCUUGAUAUAACCUAGAACACUUUGUUCACAAAAUACCCUUCCUAACUUUUUUUAAUAAUAAUUAAUGAUGUUAUGUAAAAACAAUAAUAAAUAAAAAAAUAUUUUGUGUAAAAGGGUCAUUGGAGAUUUCCAGUGCAAAGGAGAUGCAAUGGUAUGCAUACAUCUUGACUCAUCCUGGAACACCAUCAGUUUUCUAUGAUCAUAUUUUCUCUCACUACAACUCCCAAAUAUCUACACUUAUCUAUAUCAGGAAUCGCAACAAAAUUCAUUGUCGUAGCAUGGUUAGUAUCAUAAUAUUUGUUUCUUGUUAGAUUAGACGUAGGUGUUGUUUGGGAUGACUGGAAUAGAAUGGUUGAUUCCAUUGGAAUGAAUAAUAAAAACUGUUUGUUUUUGUUUUGUUAUGCCUGGUGGAAUGGAAUGAAAUUUUGUAGUAUUUGUGAUGUAGGUUGAAAUUAGCAAGGCAGAAGGAGACGUUUAUGCAGCAAUUAUUGAUGAAAAAAUAGCAUUAUAAACUCAUGGUUAUUAAUAUGUAAACACAUGUUUUUGCUUAAGUAUAUAUGACAUAUGUGACAAAAAUAUAAAUUAAGGAGAUUCUGGGUAUAGGACGCUAGUGUUAUUACAAGAAAGGAGAAUAUGUAUUUAUACAUUUCUAUAUACUAAUAAUUGUAGUUACUUAUCUAAUGGUCAACACAGGUUCUAGAUUUAUAGCAUGUCCAAUCCAUUAAACAUUUUAAAGUUUAAUGAAUAAUUAAUCAUAUCAAUAUCUAAAAUAUUAUUAUUUAUUUAUUUUGUAUUUGUAUAUCAUUUCAUAAAUAUUUAAAUACUAUGAUACCAAAUAAAUACGAUAAUUAGUAUACUCUCAUACUAAAAAAUACAUUCUGAAUGAAUGGCAUUCUUUCUUCUCUAGUCCAAAGGAAAAUUAUGUUACAGGUUCAAGAGUUACUUAUCUUAAUAGACUAGAUGAUCAUACUAUGGAAUACAGAUGUAUAAAUGAGAAGGUGAUUCAACUUGAUUCAAUGUGAUUGUCAAACUCAGUUAAACCUAGAAAACGAAGUUGAUAGUCACUCAAUCAAUUGGCUUAUCAGAUGAUGCGUUCGACUUCAAAUGGAGAGCAGAUGUGCGUCAACGGGAGGAUGUGGAGGACGAUGGAACGACGACGAUGGAACGCCGACCUAGAAAACGAAUUUGAUAGUCACUUAAUCCAGAUCAUGCGAGUAUGGAGUACCUGUUUGACUUCGACUUUGACUUCGAGUGGAGAACAGAGGUGCGUCAAUGGAACCUGAGUGUGUGGAGUGACGAUGGACUGACGAUGAU
rnacentral:lncRNA from 1 species